UGUUCUCUAAAUUGAAAUCUUCUUCCCUGCUGAAUGUUAUUUGGUGUCUCACCACUAGAGGGCAACAGCAGCUCCGUGAGCAGCCAACAGGUACUGACCUCCACUGUGACCAGCUCAGGCUCUGGAGGAGCUUCAGGAGGAGCUGUUCUGGUGGAGAAGAAGAUCAUCACCCAGAGCAGUGCUGAAGGAGGUGCUUCCUCCUCCUCGUCUGGAAGUUCAGGCAGCAGCAGUUCAGGAGCAGGAUCUGUGAUAAGUGGAUUUGAUGAAAUAUAUCGCGUAACCGGACCGAUUAUUAGCUCUACAGUUAAAAGUUCUAGCUCUGCAGUUAAAAGCUCUAGCAGUGUCUCUACUUCCAUCACAACAGUAGGUGGUUCCUCAGCAACAGGUGGAGAUCUUUCCUCUGGAUACGGGUGCAUCUCCUCCUCUGAGGUUGUGUCUGGUUCUUCAGGCGGUUCUGUUAGUGUUUCUGGAGGCAGUAUGAACAUAUCCAGAGGUAGAGGAGGUGGCGCUGGCUCCUCUGCAGUCAUGCCUGCCGCAGGAACCUCCAGUUCCAUGACUGUGACCAAGUUCAGCUCCUCGUCGCCUAGUGGCACAAGGAAAGGUUUGAGUUACAGCACAGUUCCUACAGAGAGGAAGACCAGUCUGAGCCUUCACACUGGAGGAUAUGAGGGUAAAUCAGAGAUUAUGACGCUUUAGGAUAUAUUGAUUGAUUUCAAAUGAGAGGAAUUUCACACUGUGUGUGUAAUUGUUGAUAUUAGUUAAAAUAGGCAUUAUUAAUCAGAUUAAACAGUAUGUAUGUAAUGUAUAUUUACCCAGGGAGCUCCAGUGGCAAUUCUUCCCCUGAAUACAUAAAGAAAGAAUAUGGUAUGUCCAUUUAGUAUUUUGUUUUGGGACUAGUCUGAAUUUCAGGGGGAAAAAUAAAUUUGUAAUUUGUAGUAUGCAUGACAGAAAUCAUUCAUUUAUCAUUAAUCAGCACAAUUUACAAAACCCACAAACUCACCUUUUUUUCCCUCACCUACUCGUGUUUAACUGGUUCCGUAUGGGGUUACAUUUCUGCCACAAUUCUGCGCGCGAAAGAUCAUAUUUUGAGCGCACAAAAGUGCGCGAUCUGAGUUUUGUGGAGAAAAUGUUCGUUUCGCAAUGAAAAAAGUCUUUCGAGCGCACGGAAAUCCAUUUUGCAUUUAAAAUAGGUUUUUGGAUGUGUGCAGACCUUCUCUUUUGCGCGUGCAACGUUUCACUAGCUUGCUCGCCCUCAGUGCUCGCUAAAUACCAACAGCUCGCCUGCUCAACACAACCC
rnacentral:lncRNA from 1 species